UUGGCCUUCCAAAAAUCAAGAACAUUCAAAUUUAUCUUCCUGUCUACUUUAGGCUCAUCCAAAUACAAUUGCAACUGUGACUUUUGGGAAGAAGUGAUAGACUCCUCACUGUCAAAGGUAUCAAAUUCAUAAUAAUAUAACAACAUUAUUGAUAUCAACACAUAGUCAAAUAUAAACUGAAAUUUGAUGUAUUAUGAACAAAAUAAAUAGCUUUUUACCUUCAUAAC
rnacentral:lncRNA from 1 species